GAGGUCCCAAGCGUUGUUCGGAUUCACUGGGCGUAAAGGGUGCGUAGGUGGUGAGGUAAGUCGGAUGUGAAAUCUCCGAGCUCAACUCGGAAAUGGCAUUGGAAACUACCUUGCUCGAGGGUUGGAGGGGGGACUGGAAUGCUUGGUGUAGCAGUGAAAUGCGUAGAUAUCAAGCGGAACACCAGUGGCGAAGGCGAGUCCCUGGACAACUCCUGACACUGAGGCACGAAAGCUAGGGGAGCAAACAGG
rnacentral:rRNA from 1 species